AUUGAACGCUGGCGGCAUGCCUUACACAUGCAAGUCGAACGGUAACAGGUCUUCGGAUGCUGACGAGUGGCGAACGGGUGAGUAAUACAUCGGAACGUGCCCGAGAGUGGGGGAUAACGAGGCGAAAGCUUUGCUAAUACCGCAUACGAUCUCAGGAUGAAAGCAGGGGACCGCAAGGCCUUGCGCUCACGGAGCGGCCGAUGGAAGAUUAGGUAGUUGGUGGGAUAAAAGCUUACCAAGCCGACGAUCUGUAGCUGGUCUGAGAGGACGACCAGCCACACUGGGAAUGAGACACGGCCCGGACUCCUACGGGAGGCAGCAGUGGGGAAUUUUGGACAAUGGGCGCAAGCCUGAUCCAGCCAUGCCGCGCGCAGGAUGAAGGCCUUCGGGUUGUAAACUGCUUUUGUACGGAACGAAAAGACUCUGGUUAAUACCUGGGGUCCAUGACGGUACCGUAAGAAUAAGCACCGGCUAACUACGUGCCAGCCGCCGCAGUAA
rnacentral:rRNA from 1 species